rnacentral:rRNA from 1 species
UACAGGGGGUGCAAACGUUGCUCGGAAUUAUUUGGCGUAAGGCGCGCGUAGGCGGCUACUUAAGUCGGAUGUGAAAGCCCUUGGCUCAGCUGAGGAAGUGCACCCGAAACUGAGUGGCUAGAGUACGAAAGAGGGUCGCGGAAUUCCCGGUGUAGAGGUGAAAUUCGUAGAUAUCGGGAGGAACACCGGUGGCGAAGGCGGCGACCUGGGUCGAUACUGACGCUGAUGCGCGAAAGCGUGGGGAGCAAACAGG